AAUCUUCCACAAUGGACGAAAGUCUGAUGGAGCAACGCCGCGUGAGCGAAGAAGGUUUUCGGCUCGUAAAGCUCUGUUGCGAGGGAAGAACAAGUACGGGAGUAACUGCCCGUACCUUGACGGUACCUCGUACGAAAGCCAUGGCUAACUACGUGCCAGCAGCCGCGGGAAUGCGUAGAUGGCAAGCGUUGUACGGAAUUAUUGGGCGUAAAGCGCGCGCAGGCGGUCAUUUAAGUCUGAUGUGAAAGCCCACGGGUCAACCGUGGAGGGUCAUUGGAAACUGGAGGACUUGAGUACAGAAGAGGAAAGCGGAAUUCCACGUGCAGCGGUGAAAUGCGUAGAGAUGUGGAGGAACACCAGUGGCGAAGGCGGCUUUCUGGUCUGUAACUGACGCUGAGGCGCGAAAGCGUGGGGAGCAAACAG
rnacentral:rRNA from 1 species